UGCACCACACAGGUAUUGAACCAGCACUCCUGACUGUUAGAAAUCAGUGCUUUAACCACUUGGCUAUGUGC
rnacentral:tRNA from 1 species